AGACUAAGCAUAGGGAACCCGAUGAAGCAAUUGUUUACAGUGCUUUCCGUAUCGCUGAUGCAAAGCGAUCUGCCGAAGAUAAAUAUGCAGAACCGAGCACAAUUUAUACCCAGACAAUGCAAUCCGAAUGUGAUCCAAAGUUAACGUAUACUACUCUAAACAUCGCUGGUCUAAAGUCAUCUACUAAAUGCAGAUACGUUGAAGAAAGCACGGUAUAUGCCCAGACAAUACAUGGUCGACCUGAACGCAUGGCUGAAGAAAUGGAUAUCAAUACAGGAUACAACAACCAAAUUGUAAAAUCGUAAUCUGCCUUACACUGCAAAAUUCGCAGGAAUGUUGAGUAAUGUCAAGGCGCCAUAUUUUCCAGUGCAUUUGGAAUAUUAUCGCUGGGAGUUCUGUAUUUGUUGGGUUUUGUUCAGUUUAUUUAUGGAUCCAUGCAUUCCUUAUAGAUUUAAAAUACGCAAAUUUAGUCGAAUAUUCUGCAAACAAUAUGGACUAUUUCAAGCUCUUACUGACUAAAAAAUUGCUCUUUUGUACCCAACCGGCCCAGUGACAGCCCCAGUUAUGAAUUUUCCAAUAGUAUUCAUCUUUCAGAUCAUACAAAUUGUCCAUUAACUAAGGUAAGGAUCUGUAUGUGAAUCUGUAUGUGGAGAUGCUUUUGUAUUCAGGGGUCAUAUCUUUAUCGAAUAGUAAAUGUUGCAAUAAUUAAAAAUAGACUCUUCAGGUUAGACCGCUAAUCGGCACGAGUAGAAGCCGGGUACAUACGAAAACGUUUACUACUUUCUACUGCGAGUGGGACAUGUCGGUGUUUCUUCGUCAAUUGAAUUGUCCGCAACAUGGACGUCAUCUUUUUGUUGUGGGUGAACAUUUCCGUGCUAAACCUAUAUAUUAUACCAAUAUAUAGUAAUUAUUUUUGCUGUUAAUUCUCUGUGAAUCAAUAAAUCCGUUUUACUUCUUGAA